AUUGCUGGUGUAUAUUUAUACAUGUGUCCUCUCUUUGUUGAUCACAGUUCAAGAUACGCUGGAGUCUGUUACACUAAUCCAUUAUCGUGGAUUUAACCAGACGUUUUAGAUGUACGUGUAUCAUAUGAUGACUCAAAUUGAACUGAUGUGUCACCUGUCUUGAGAAAGGUCCGGUUACGGACCGAAACGUCGACACGAUUAAAGCUUCGGUGACGAUUGAUUUUA